GACGAACGCUGGCGGCGUGCUUAACACAUGCAAGUCGAACGGUAAGGCCCUUCGGGGUACACGAGUGGCGAACGGGUGAGUAACACGUGGGUGAUCUGCCCUACACUUCGGGAUAAGCCUGGGAAACUGGGUCUAAUACCGGAUAGGACCACUGCCUGCAUGGGUGGUGGUGGAAAGCUUUUGCGGUGUGGGAUGGGCCCGCGGCCUAUCAGCUUGUUGGUGGGGUGAUGGCCUACCAAGGCGACGACGGGUAGCCGGCCUGAGAGGGUGACCGGCCACACUGGGACUGAGAUACGGCCCAGACUCCUACGGGAGGCAGCAGUGGGGAAUAUUGCACAAUGGGCACAAGCCUGAUGCAGCGACGCCGCGUGAGGGAUGACGGCCUUCGGGUUGUAAACCUCUUUCAGCACCGACGAAGCGCAAGUGACGGUAGGUGCAGAAGAAGGACCGGCCAACUACGUGCCAGCAGCCGCGGUAA
rnacentral:rRNA from 1 species